GAGAACUACAAGCAAUAAGUAGGGGAGGAGCUGGAUCACCAAUGCUAUCUGAAGACUUGCCCUGCAACAUACAGGGAAGUAUUUGAUAUAUGUGAAGAAAGAAUCUUUGGGCAUCACUAGAACCAUGUCCACUGGAGACCCCCCUGUUCAAUCUCCUUCUAUCUCCUCCAGCCUCCUACUGGUAGCAGCAUCUAGGGUGACACACUAUGCUCUUUGGGCACCUGAGAUAUGAACUACAUUCACAACAGCUUUUUGGCCUCACUUUCAGAAUGGGCAGCAAUGUGCUUUGAUGCUGGUUUUCAAGAUAGAUGUCUUAGGUGGUAGAGCAUCUUCCUACCUAUGGUCCGUAUGUCUAGGCUGAACAAGUGCUUUCCCACUGUGGGCCAUGAAGGCCAUCCUCAGACACCACUGUGCUUGAACAGUGCUUCUCAGAGCCUGUACUAGUGCUGCCUGGGCCAGAGCUGGUGGGUGGGCAUGAGUCUGGCUGUCCUAUAUCCUGCUCAGGGCUGAGUGAUCUAUCAGCUCCAGGAAUAUCCCCUUCUGCAUCCUACCUGUCAAGAGAUAACCAUUCUCCUGAUUUCUAAUGUAUAGAUUAGUUUUGCUUGUUUUGAUUUUGUACAUGAAAUCAUACAGAAUGUAUUUUUUUGCAUAUGUAGAUUCUUUUGCUUAUCUGGAUUAUUGAGUGUCGCCAUAGAUAUUUUUCAUUACUCUGUAAUAUUUCAUUGUAUGAAUGUAUUACAUUUCAUUUAUCAUUCUGUUGCAACAUGGAUAUUUGGGUUGUUUCCAGUGUUUGGCAAAGAAAAGCCACAUACAUGUCAGUAUCUAUGUUUAUCAUUUCAAGGAAUUGGUCUGUUUUUCUCUCAUUUGGAACUUUCUACCUGUCUUUCUCACUAUCUCCUUCUCUCAAUCUUUUUUUUUUCUUUUUUGGUACUGGGAAGUGAAUCCAGGGUGCUAACCACUGACCACAUCCUCAGCCCUUUUUUUUAUUUUAUUUAGAGACAGUUCUCACUGAGUUACUUAGGGCCUCGUUAAGUUGCUGAGGCUGUCUUUGAACUUGCAAUCCUCCUUCCUCAGCCUCUGGAGCCGCUGAAUUACAGGAAUGCGCCAUCAUGCCCAACUCUUUUCUAUAUAUUUUUAAUUCAAGGGUAUAACAAUUUCACAUAUUCAUACUAAAAUUGUCCUUUGUGAAAUAAUAUCUUUAUAUUCCUAUUUUCAAAAGGGAUUUCUGAUAUCAAACAUGAAGUUCAUAUCUACUAAAUAGAAGCAAACAAAAGAUUCAAAGCUGGUUCUGCAUUGUGAGGUAGUUCUCAAGGGAUAGCCCAGGGGUUUCUAUGAUAUAAGGUUGGAUUUAGUUGGUGACACCUGAGGUGCCUUCCUAGACUGAGACGGGUAAUAGAAUGAGUAAGAACUGGAGAAACAUUCUCAUUUCUAGAUUUCUGUCUCCAGCAAAAUUCAAUCACAACCCUUUUGCAUUCUGUAUCAUAUUAUGUCUGCUACAUUUUUGUUUAUGCUUAUUUCUGCCUGAAUGGGGUUUCUUCGAGAUCUAGAUAAAAUAUUCCUCUUUUUAAGUUUCUAGUACAAAGUUUUGCAUGCGGUAGAUUCUCUGCUUCAUUUCUUUCCUCAGGAUUACCAGGGGACAGCUGCGGAGGUGAGGCUGGAGGCCAGCUCUGAGAAUGCAUCAGAACGCUUCAAGCAUUUCCAGAUUUUCCAAGUUUGUUCUUCAAUGUUGAUGGAUUGGUUCAAGGCACCCAGAGGCUCAAGGAUGCAGCGGAGGGUUCCACUCCCCUGAGAACAUCAUGAGGCACUUGGCUGCUUGUCUGAAGGGCUGUGUUCAUGACCCUCUGCAGGAUCCCUCCUUGGUCAGGAUGCAGCUCCAACAGGAGCCGUCUACACCUAGUUCUCUUCAGGAGCAAUAAGAACUUGCAAAAGUGAAUGGCACCCUUGGGCCUGACCAGUUCCUCGUUUGCUUUGGGUCUGUGAGCUCCUGGGACUUCCUCCCAGCUGUGAAGGGGCUUGUUAUCCUGGAAAAAGGACACUGUAGAUCUAGGGAAGCUUUUGCUAGCAAGAUGGCUCUCCCAGAAACACAAGUCUCUCAUUUCCUUGGGCUUUUCUUCUCUCCUCUUUCACAACUUCCCCUGCUGCCCUGCCCAGCUUCCAGAAAAACAAAGCUUGCCAUCAUAUUGCAGAAGAACUUCAUCACUUAUCUUUGUACUUCAGUGCCCAGUGCUCAAUGAAUAUACAGUAGAUGUUUGUUGAAUGAAUAAAUGACAAUUUAUUGA